rnacentral:lncRNA from 1 species
GUGGUUGUUCCUUUAACAGUGAAUUGUGUUUUAUUUUAGAAAUGUAAUCCAUCAUUGUAUGGAGUCAUUCUGGGGAUAGUGAAUGACCCAAAAUAUUGGAUACUCACAGUAAGUUAAACUAUAUCUUACCCUAUAUAUUCAUAUUUUAACGGCAACAACGGCUCCAAGAUAAAAAGAUGUCUACAGACCACAAGGUAACAGUUGUGUUCUAUGGCCUGACCCCGGCAGGCGGAAUGCUGUUAUUUAAUUUAACCAUUGGAGUAUGGGUGAAACAGGUGAAGGGAAUGACCUUGACUGAUGGGAGGAUGCUGUGCAGGUGUGUGAGAGCUGUGGUACUGUCCGUGGUGGUGCAUGAGUGCAGCUCGUGCUCUGGUGACUGGGAUCUGUGGUGCUUUCCAUUGUGCUGGACUGGAUGAUUCAGGAUUGCAUAAUAAUUUCCUGCUUUUUGUCUACUUCUCAGAGCAUUCAUGAGAGCAAGGAGCUGAAUGGUGUCCAGGUGGAAAGCAAACACUGUGCCACAUAGCUUACAGCAGGAUUUCACUUCAUGUGGAAUAUUUGCCAUCAAAGUAAGUUAUUGAAUUGCAUAUUUCUUUAUGGAAACAUGAAGCAGAUUUUGAAAAGGUCUAUUUUUUCAACAUUUAAACUCCUAGAGAGACAUACAGUUGAUGAAUAUUGAUUAAGUUAAACUGGGCCAGUAUGUUUUGAAUAUUCAUUUAUUCUAACAUGUUCUUAGUAUGCUGAGAAAGUCCUGGCAGAGGAGUCUACUACUUUCCCAAACUCUGAAGCGGCAGUGGUUAACUACAGAUGAGGAAAAUUCUGUAACACUUCUCAAUGAGGCUGGUAUGUUAACCCUUUUCGAACUUUUAUUAACCCAUGAGGUUUUCAAAUAUCAUAAUUGAAAUGAUGUAUCAUGUAUCACUCAUGGUAUAUUUCCCCAUGGAAAUAAGAAGAAAAUAUUAUGUGCAAUUAAUAACAUAUCUUAACCAGAUGAUCUCAGUGAGCUGUGCCACUGCUGUGGAGAGGGAGAAGAAGCGCGAGGAGGAGGGUCUCAAGACAGACCUGAGGCCACUGACUGGAUCUAGUGUGUCACCUGUGGACGGUGGUACCACGAGGGUUGUGUUGGGAGGCCCGACAGAGAUCAUUUGUACAGCUGUCCUGCAUGCCCCCAGGCUCAAAUGUUCUAGUGACGUUUCUCAAGUUUUCCUGGUUCCAAUAAACGUCACUGGCGACUGACUGUGUUAAGUGUUAAUAUAUGUGUCAAGUGUUAAUAUAUGAUUACGGCCUUACUUUGAAGGGACAACGUGAUGACGUUACUACGUUCUUGUGAAGCAACGCGCGGGUCAACUGUCCCGUUGUUCUUUUGUUGUUGUUGGAACUGACUGGACAGUAUUCAGUCAUGUAUUCUAGAGAAUAAAUACGCCAAAGGCUAAAGAAAACAUGUCGAUCUGCUUAUUCUUCACCACACCAGAGAAGAGGAGUCACCGCUCCAUCGAAGC